AUUGAACGCUGGCGGCAGGCUUAACACAUGCAAGUCGCGCGAGCGUAGGACGUGUGACUAAUGUCUGGGAAACUGCCUGAUGGAGGGGGAUAACUACUGGAAACUGUAGCUAAUACCGCAUACCAUCAGAUGUGCCCAGAUGGGAUUAGCUAGUAGGUGGGGUAAUGGCUCACCUAGGCGACGAUCCCUAGCUGGUCUGAGAGGAUGACCAGCCACACUGGAACUGAGACACGGUCCAGACUCCUACGGGAGGCAGCAGUGGGGAAUAGUGGACAAUGGGCGAAAGACUGAUGCAGCAAUGCCGCGUGUGUGAAGAAGGCCUUCGGGUUGUAAAGCACUUUAAGCGAGGAGGCGUUACUCGCAGAAGAAGCACCGGCUAACUCCGUGCCAGCCGCCGCGGUAAUAC
rnacentral:rRNA from 1 species